UGGGAACCGAGAAUGCAAUCAUCACUGCAAAAAUAAACAUACAUGUGGACAUGACUGCUGUAAAAUUGGGGUUGCACAGAAGUUAGAAGUUAAAGAGUCAGCAAUUUCUUCAUAUUUAUCUGACUUAAGGAACAGGAAUGCUGUUUCAUCUCUUCCUCCAUUUAAAUGUCUCAAGCUACAGAUGAAUAAAUCUCAAAGUGUGGAUCUCAAAGAGUUUGGUUUUACUCCAAAACCUUCUAUAUCCAAUAGAUCAAGG